ACCAUCUCUUGUGGUAGGAUGUAAUGGUGGUGAUUUUUGAGAUGGAACUCAAAUAGUUUUUAACUUGCAUGUAAUAUUUAUUUUGAAAUCCAAAUAGUUUUCAUAGAUUUUACUUUCCCUUUUAUCAAAACAUGUUGGAAAGAGCACUGAUAAAGACAAGAGUAAAAGGGGUAAGUGCUUUCGUCUAUCUUGUUUGCUUUGUUUUGUUUGCUUCUUCUACCCUUUUUUUCUGCCUGAGAUUAAGAUGGGUAAUGAAAAUGGAAAAAAGGUGCAGCAGUUAGUAGAAGAUGGUACGUGAGUGGAUUAGUAAGGAUGUGAAGAUACAGGGGGUCACUAUUUGUAGAAAGGAGGUUGGGUUAACUUAAAUAGUACACCUGGAUUUUCUGUCUUUAAAUUGUAUAAAUCUUCAUUCAAAGAUUUCAAAGAAAUAUUUUUAAAGGUGAAGAGUGCCAAGGAUGUGUUUUUGUUUUAUUUGGAUGAAGAUCUGGCUGAAAAAUUUCCCUUGUUUUAGUGUUCCCAACUCCAGCACAUUUUGGAUCCUGAGAAAGUUAAUGUGUUCCCAACCCCAGCACAUUCUAGGUCCUGAGAAAAUUAGUGUGAGGAAUAGUGUAUAAUUGAAUAUUUGGUUGAAGUUGUGGAUAGGACAAAUUUGAUAUCGGUAUCUAAUUUGCUUCCUUGGGAAGACAAUAAACAAUCUGUAAUAGAUUAUUUGGGUAAGAAUUUAUAAAAAUACAAGUAGUUAGGGAUCAUGUAUUCUGGUAAUUUCUUGAUUUUGCUUUGUGUAUUUUUGUCAAGUGGAAAGUAUCCAAGAAUCUCGGCUGCGAGCCUUAAAACUCGGUUUAAGAGUAAGAAUUUGGAAAAGGAGGGUUCAUCAUCAAAUCCUGAUAAGGGAGGUGUAGAGGGUGAGGUGAACUAACCUCGUCAAAGACGGUGAAGGAUUAUUUUUAAGAAAAGAAAGUCAAACUUUAUCGAUGUUGACGUAUCCAACGAUGUGUCUGAGAAAGGUAAAGAUAUACCACCGGAAAAAAUUACUGCUUUUGUGGAUAAUCAAAAGAGGCUUUAUGGGUUUGCCGAGGAUAUUGAUGGUUCUUCGAUUUGGGGUAAGAAUUUCCCUUUUUUGGUCGUUACGGAUGAGGUAAGCCAGUCGUCGGCGGAUGUGACCUUGGCUAAUGAAGUUGGAGACAUAGUCAUUGAUCAGUAUAUGCAGGUGAUCGGUUUGCAUUUAGCCAGUUUAGGUCGGAGUCAGGAAGUAAAGCAUAAGAAAUUGUUGGGCCUAGCCGAAGAGCCAAACAAACUAAAGGAAAAGUUGAAUCUGAAGAAGAAUCUAAUUGUGGAGUUAGAAGCUAAACUUGUAGAAAAAAAAGAAAGAGUUAGAGGUUGUGAAGAGUAAUUAUGAAAAGGAGUGCGAGUUGCUGAAGAAAAAAGAUGGUGAUUUGUCUAGCAUGAAGGAUCAGGUUAUCGAGGUUAAUAUGAAAUUGAAGGAUUUGGAAAAAAGUAAGCAAGCUAAAAUUUUGGAUGCUUUCGCAGAGGAUUUUGAGCAUGCUGUUAUGCAAUCCAAGUUUUUAGUACUGGACCGAGACCUUUCUCAAAUGGAGCCUAGAAAAAUAGUUUGUGAUAGAGCUUUGAUUGAUGAUAAAGAGGGAGUCGAGGAAGGACACGAAAAUUUGGGACAAGAUGUAUGACUUUUCUUAUUAUGUGAAUUUUGGGUUUUGAAUGUUGGGUUUUGGAUUUGAACUUGUUUAUCAUCAGUUUAAGGAUGAUAAGGACUAUUUAUAUUGUGCCAAGUUUGAUUGGCCUUUUGCUAACUGUUUUGGUUAUAUGAAUUUUGUACA